rnacentral:ribozyme from 10 species
AGUCGUUAGGGCGACUAUAAACAGACAUUAAGCCCUAAGCGUCCCCUACUAGCUAGGGGGGUUGUA